UCAUCAUUAAUGGCAAAUGAACUCUGGUUCCAACCAAAAUCAAGGCAGUUUCUCCCCACUGUUUGAUCAUGUAGUUCUAUUACAGUCCUUUUAACAUAAAACAAUCAUUAGGAAGCUAAACUACUACAGGGAUCACUAAAAAUGGUCGAAACAAAGGGAUAUCAUCUGAUCUUCAUAAAAUCGAGCGCUGAAGUCAAACUCAAAAC
rnacentral:lncRNA from 1 species